GUUUUAUUUCCUGUGCUUUUUAUACUACCAAAUAUAUGAGCAUAUUUGUGGCUUAUUAAACAUUUUUAACCUCAUUUAUAAUAGCUUCAUAAUAUUCUAUUUUAGAGAAGUUCCAUAGUUUAUUUGACAAAUCCCUUAUUGUCAGAUACUCAGGUUGUUUCAAAUUAUUUUUCAGUUUCUUGAAGGGAAUGUACAAGUUCUAACCUGGGGAUAAUCACAAUGCUUGGCUCAUGGGUCAUUGUGCUGAUUAAAUAAAUUAUUAUAGGAAAAGUGUUUAGGAAAUGAAACAAGUACUGUAUGUGUGUUAGCGAAGGUUAUUCUUUUAGGCCUAUUAUUUUGAUAAUGCUAUAGUUGUUACCAUUUUAUACGCAUCUUUGAACACAUAAGUGAUUAUUUCCUGGGUCAGAGGGGAGAGCAGUGUGAAGGCUGGCAUAAAAUUCAUCCCCAAUUUAUGGAGGGUGUGCUUGCCACUGACAGGGAGACCAAAGGGGUGGAACUGAGCCCCAGGCUUUGGCUGGAAACAUCUGUCAUGAUCUGACUGUGAUGCCUUACGAAGUAUGAACAAUGAGUUAGUUCACCUCAGGGCUGAAAAAAGGAAGCGUAGAAAGCAUGCAAAAUAGAGACGCCCAGGAAAGUAUCUGCCAGCGCAGCAAAGAGACCAGUUUGCCCUCGAGCUCCAGAUUGAUCAUCUCUCAAAUUGGGCUUCCAUGGACCCGUUGUGUAGAAACACUGCCUGAACCCACUGGG
rnacentral:lncRNA from 1 species